AUCUUAGUGCACCAGCAUUUUUUAAACCUGCAAUUGAAACAUGUAAUGUUACCUCUGUUGUACUUUCAGCCCUACCAGAAGAAGCUCAAACACACAUCAAAAGGAUAACAACAAGUGGCACAAUUUAUAUUACUUCAAAGUGACACAGGGACUCUCACUGCUUACAUGAUUUAUGGUUGUUUAUUGGUCACGCUAAAGAGGUUCCUUGCAGUGAGCGAAAAUACUAGAUACUAGGAAAGCAAUGGAAAACCCUCAAGCCAUGAUACUACGUGUUGUUGAUAAAGGCAAUGCAAGGAAAGUAAAACUGAGCUCUCGGCCAGCCUCUGUUGACAGCCUUAUCAGAAUUUUGAAGGAGCAACUAGAGUUGGAUGUUGACUUCAGUUUGCAAUAUGAAGAUCCAGAUUUUGAUGGGAAGCUUACAUCCUUGGUUGACAUUGAUGAAUUACCCCUAAAGGCAGUUGUACAUAUUACAUUUCCAGAACUGAUGAGUUCAGAAUGUGGUAGUUCUGUUGCAUCUACAGAAUUAUUGUCAGACCUGUCAUCUCCAGAGCGUCUUAGCAGGUGGCCUCCAGGUAUUUUUCCUGUUCCCAAUUUUUCUUUUGAUGUUGAGCUGAGGC